CCCCUUUCAGGGUCACACCUGAAGAGUUGCCAGUACUCUACCAAUCUCGGUUACAGGAGGGAGAGUCAAGCAGAAACUUACCCAUUCCAUUCCUAGCUUGGCCAGUGGCUAGCUAGUGGAAGGCAAUCUGCUACAAGU
rfam:Ornithorhynchus anatinus chromosome 5, whole genome shotgun sequence.